CACGGGGGGGGCAAGCGUUGUUCGGAAUUACUGGGCGUAAAGGGCUCGUAGGCGGCCAACUAAGUCCGACGUGAAAUCCCCAGGCUUAACCUGGGAACUGCGUCGGAUACUGGUUGGCUUGAAUCCGGGAGAGGGAUGCGGAAUUCCAGGUGUAGCGGUGAAAUGCGUAGAUAUCGGAAGGAACACCAGUGGCGAAAGCGGCUUCCUGGUCCAGCACCGACGUUCAGGCACGAAAGCGUGGGGAGCAAACAGG
rnacentral:rRNA from 1 species